rnacentral:misc_RNA from 1 species
GAUGAAGAACGCAGCGAAAUGCGAUAAGUAAUGUGAAUUGCAGAAUUCAGUGAAUCAUCGAAUCUUUGAACGCACAUUGCGCCCGCCAGUAUUCUGGCGGGCAUGCCUGUUCGAGCGUCAUUACAACCCUCAGGCCCCCGGGCCUGGCGUUGGGGAUCGGCGGAAGCCCCCUGCGGGCACAACGCCGUCCCCCAAAUACAGUGGCGGUCCCGCCGCAGCUUCCAUUGCGUAGUAGCUAACACCUCGCAACUGGAGAGCGGCGCGGCCACGCCGUAAAACACCCAACUUCUGAAUGUUGACCUCGAAUCAGGUAGGAAUACCCGCUGAACUUAAGCAUAUCAAUAAGCGAAGGA